rnacentral:rRNA from 1 species
AUGAGCUGGAAUGUCAGGGGACUGAACUCACCAGCCCGGAGAUUUGCAUUUCGUGAGCUUGCUGAUUCCCUCAGGGCCACCAUCCUCUGCCUGCAAGAAAAAAAACUGGACACAUGGACUGCCAGCACCGUCUGCGACCUUGGGGGUUCUGCGAUGGAAGGCUGCGCGGUGCUGCCGGCGACGGGCACUAGGGGAGGGGCAGCCAUCCUCUGGAACAAGCGAGUUGUCGACCUGAUCACCCACGUUGUUGGCGGCUUCUCCAUCACAGCCAAGGUCACAAUUCUGCACAACAGCGCAUCAUUCUGGCUAACGACAAUUUACGGCCCGGCUGACAAUGCUCGCAAGGAUGCUUUCCUGGCCGAGUUGACUCAAGUUGCCCCGCCAUUGGGAGAGCCAUGGAUCAUCGCCGGUGAUUUCAACAUCAUAUAUGAAGCCUGUGACAAGAGCAAUCUGAACCUGAAUAGAAGAGUUAUGGGCAAAUUCAGAAGGGCCAUCGACACUGCAAAUAUGAAAGAAAUCAAGUGCAAAAACAGGCAUUUUACCUGGUCAAAUGAGCGGGAGGAUCCAACUCUUGUCAGCAUCGACAAGAUUUUCUGUAACUUGGAGUGGGACAACCUGUUCCCCAAUUUCAUUCUCAUGGCCGCCUCGAAUGCAUGCUCGGAUCAAUGUGCCCUCCUGCUGGCAAAAUCCUCUUCUCCGGCGCGAAAACCAUCAUUCAAAUUUGAAUCCUUCUAG